AGCGAACGCUGGCGGCAUGCUUAACACAUGCAAGUCGCACGGAGGGGCAACCCUCAGUGGCGGACGGGUGAGUAACGCGUAGGUAUCUGUCCAUGGGUGGGGGAUAACAGCGGGAAACUGCUGCUAAUACCGCAUGACACCUGAGGGUCAAAGGCGCAAGUCGCCUGUGGAGGAGCCUGCGUCCGAUUAGCUUGUUGGUGGGGUAACGGCCUACCAAGGCGAUGAUCGGUAGCUGGUCUGAGAGGAUGAACAGCCACACUGGAACUGAGACACGGUCCAGACUCCUACGGGAGGCAGCAGUGAGGAAUAUUGGUCAAUGGGAGCAAUCCUGAACCAGCAAUGCCGCGUGUGGGAUGACAGGGCUUCGCCUUGUAAACCACUGUCGGACGGGACGAAAGCAGGCCUCGGGCCUCUGGGACGGUACCGUCAAAGGAAGGUCGGCUAACUACGUGCCAGCAGCCGCGGUAAU
rnacentral:rRNA from 1 species